CCGCCGGAGCUGUCCGACAUUAUCGAAUAGAGAGGACCAGACAAUCGUCAAUGGGUGUAGCUGUUUUCUUAUGAUAGAUUUGAUAAAUCACCAUGGUUACUGUGACGCUACUGACAUCUUUAUUGUUGUUGUGGACACUGCUCGCUCCAUCUAGCGGGCAACUUCUGGGGCUCCUGGCGGGAGGAUACCUUGCCUCCCGUUUUUUUGGUCAGCGUGGAUACUACCCCCUGGAGUUAUUCCCUCCUCCCUACCCCCCGCCGCCGCCUUACCGCUACCCUUACUACUGAGGCAGCUUGUCAUCCUUCCAAUGUAUCACAAGUCAUGAACUACACAUAUGGAUCAUAAAACCAAUAUACAUUUGUAAAAUCAAUAAAUGAUGAAGUCAAAG